ACGGCUCAGUAACACGUGGCUAACCCACCCUUGAGACGGAGAAAACCCCGGGAAACUGGGGUUAAUCUCCGAUAAGAGAAGACCCCUGGAAUGGGUCUUCUCUCAAAGGGCGCCUAGACCAUGCUUCUAGGCGUUGCUCAAGGACGGGGCCGCGGCCGAUCAGGUUGUUGGUGAGGCAACGGCUCACCAAGCCUAUAACCGGUACGGGCCGUGAGAGCGGGAGCCCGGAGAUGGGCACUGAGACAAGGGCCCAGGCCCUACGGGGCGCAGCAGUUGCGAAAACUCCGCAAUGCACGAAAGUGUGACGGGGCUACCCCGAGUGCCGUCCGCUGAGGGCGGCUUUUCCCCGGUGUAAGGAGCCGGGGGAAUAAGGAGAGGGCAAGUCUGGUGUCAGCCGCCGCGGUAAUACCAGCUCUCCGAGUGGUAGGGAUGAUUAUUGGGCUUAAAGCGUCCGUAGCCGGCCCGGCAAGUCUUCCGUUAAAUCCAACGAUUCAAUCGUUGGACUGCAGGAGAUACCGUUGGGCUAGGGGGCGGGAGCGGCCGACGGUAUUCUCGGGGUAGGGGUAAAAUCCUAUAAUCCCGGGAGGACCACCAGUGGCGAAGGCGGUCGGCUAGAACGCGCUCGACGGUGAGGGGACGAAAGCUGGGGGGAGCGAACCGGAUUAGAUACCCGGGUAGUCCCAGCUGUAAACGAUGCGGGCUAGGCGUUGGGGCGGCUACGGGCCGCUUCAGUGCCGCAGGGAAACCAUUAAGCCCGCCGCCUGGGGAGUACGGCCGCAAGGCUGAAACUUAAAGGAAUUGGCGGGGAG
rnacentral:rRNA from 1 species